AGUUCCAGCUACUAGGGAGGCUGAGGUGAGAGGAUCAUUUGGGCCCAAGAGUUCGAGGUUGCAGUAAGCUAUGAUCAUACCACUGCACCCUAGUUAUGAAGAGGGGAGGCAAAAAACAACAACCCACACUUUCCCAAUACUUCAAGACAAUGGUAGAAGAGAAACCCCAAAGGCUCCAUGAUGAAUUCAUUAUGCAGACUGACAAUAAGGAUCUUGGAGAUCAGGGAAGUUUCUAGAAGAUGAGAUCUGAGCUGGACUAUGACAGUCAGGUAAGAUUCUGCUACCUGGAGAAAGAGAAAUCCUUUGAAAGAAGACUUUGGGGACACGUGCCCCAGCUUCUCCUGGGCUGUGCUGGGCUGGAGAGUCGGGACUCGAUUCUGUAAAUAGUAGGGAACUGUUGGAAGUUUGCAUAAAGAGUAGGUGGUUUAGAAGGGUUAAUAUGGAAGCAUGAUGUAGGUGGACGGGCAGGCCAGGAGGUGGGGAGGCUACAGUGUGGGCAAUGAGAAAGUGAAUGUUAUGGGAAGGGCACUGGGCGGGUCAUAGGAGACACCAGCUCUAGUCUCCCUGGGUUAAGCCAUUAAUUCCAGGUGGGAUCCCGCACCCUUAUUCUGUGAAAUGAAUUUCAAUGAGAUGAUCUCUGUGCUUCGUCUCAGCUCUAUCGUUUAUUGAUCUAAAUGAUGUCAUGCCCGGCAUGGUGGACGUGGAGCAGCUCGGCAUCGGCUCGCCUCCCGGCCGGCGACUGAGGGCUUCUUUCCGCCCCGCUCGUUUUAAUACCGGGGGUGCUUCCUUCCCGUGGGGGGCGCGGAAGGCGGGGGCCGUGUGCACACCACCACUCCUGGCUAACUUUGUUGUAUUAUUACAGGCAUGAGCCACCGUGCCUGGCCCUAUAAUGAUUUAGGCUCUAUUUGUUUCACUGGUCUUUGUUACCCAAUGUCUAAUGU
rnacentral:lncRNA from 1 species